UAAUGUAUGGGGAUCUGCCCGAUAGAGGGGGAAAACUACUGGAAACGGUGGCUAAUACCGCAUAAUGUCUACGGACCAAAGCAGGGGCGCUUCGGACCUUGCACUAUCGGAUGAACCCAUAUGGGAUUAGCUAGUAGGUGGGGUAAAGGCUCACCUAGGCGACGAUCUCUAGCUGGUCUGAGAGGAUGAUCAGCCACACUGGGACUGAGACACGGCCCAG
rnacentral:rRNA from 1 species